CUUCUGUGCCUGUUCAUUGUGCUCAUGAUGUCUUCCAGGUUCCCAGUAUUUUUUUCAUUCCCUGGAUUUAGUUUGGAUUAAGUUUGUUUUAUAUCUGUUUUUAGUUUAUUAAAUUAUCUUAUUUUUUUUAAUCUGCACCUUGGUCCUCCCACUCCUUUCUACAUCUAUAACAAUUUUAAUCCAGAUUGAUUUAUAAGGUUAGAUAUGAUCAGCUGUAUUAUUACAUUUCAGCCUCACAACUGCAGGAGCACACAAUGUUUGAAUCAACUACUGGUUUCUAAAACAAGGAAGACAACGCUGUGGCUCAAUUGUUGGAGAAAUGGAGUCAGCAGUUUGAAUGAACAGCUGUCAGAGGGGACAAUGGAAAUACAGCAAAUGAUGUCUGGAAUGACAUUGACAGAUGGAGUGACAGACUGCUGGUAUUCUUCUUGACAAGCGGGUCAGCCGGUCGACAAUGGACUGUUUCACUCUGCCACCCAGAAUGAGGAACUUAAGAGAAACCAGCUGGGGAUUUUUUUCUUGCUCAAACUUCCUGCCAUCCAGCCUGUGUGUUCACUAACUACGACUGAAGUAAAAUCAGCUGUACAAGAGCUACAGAUGAGUCUCUCUGCUUUCACCAGCUCUGAAUACACUCCUGCCAUCAGUCUGUUUAUCAAGUGGACAGCAGAGCCACAGGAACAUGAGAGCACUGCGUGAAUAUAUCCCAGCACAGCACCUCUACAGUGGAUUCUGGGGGGGGUCAGUACCAUGCUUAUGUAGGCACAUGAGCACCAGUAGUGCUAGCCUCCAGCGAUCAGCCCACUGUGGAUAAACUGGUUCAUCACGAUGGCGGCUGGAAUCCCCCACGCUGCUCUCCGUCCACGGGCAGGAGUGUGUGGAUGGCUAGCUGUUCCUCUGCUCUGAAUCCCUGUGGGCGGAGGACGAGCUCUGGCUGUCCUCGGCGUCGUCUCCAUCUGCAGGACAGAGGGACAAAUUACAAACAUCCAUAACAAGUUUUAAGUCCAUGUUUUUUAGGGUUUCGUAUCAGAUCAGACAAAGCAUUGCAAAAAAAAAA